rnacentral:rRNA from 1 species
UGGUGGAGUGAUUUGUCUGGUUAAUUCCGUUAACGAACGAGACCCCUGCCUGCUAAAUAGUCCUUGUAGUGCUUGUCACUGUUAAGGUAACUUCUUAGAGGGACGUGCAUUCUAUUAGAUGCAGGAAGAUAGGGGCAAUAACA